rnacentral:rRNA from 1 species
GAUGAACGCUGGCGGCGUGCCUAAUACAUGCAAGUCGAGCGAACAGAUGAGGAGCUUGCUCCUCUGACGUUAGCGGCGGACGGGUGAGUAACACGUGGAUAACCUACCUAUAAGACUGGGAUAACUUCGGGAAACCGGAGCUAAUACCGGAUAAUAUAUUGAACCGCAUGGUUCAAUAGUGAAAGACGGCUUUGCUGUCACUUAUAGAUGGAUCCGCGCCGCAUUAGCUAGUUGGUACGGUAACGGCUUACCAAGGCAACGAUGCGUAGCCGACCUGAGAGGGUGAUCGGCCACACUGGAACUUAGACACGGUCCAGACUCCUACGGGAGGCAGCAGUAGGGAAUCUUCCGCAAUGGGCGAAAGCCUGACGGAGCAACGCCGCGUGAGUGAUGAAGGUCUUCGGAUCGUAAAACUCUGUUAUUAGGGAAGAACAAAUGUGUAAGUAACUAUGCACGUCUUGACGGUACCUAAUCAGAAAGCCACGGCUAACUACGUG